rnacentral:lncRNA from 7 species
GGAAGCACUUGAGACAUGCAAGAUAAAGUGAAGCACUAUUUUAAACUUCUCUGAUGACAGCCUCAUUCUUACUGAUAAAAAAUACAUAGUGCCAAUUCAUGCAAAUUGGUCUAAUAAAUACUUGCCCAAACCCAUGCAAACUUUGAAGACUUCCUUGUUUUCCUAAGAGUUAUCAGAACUGAGAAGCAGCCAAACUGCAGGUACCUGAAGAUGUUCCCAUUAUUCAAAAGAAGCUGUUGAUUUUUCGGAGUACUUCCUGAUCCUCCUGAGAACGACAACUAGUGAUGAGGAAACCUCUUGGUAAAUGCCAGUGAGGAGGUUGCAUUCAUCCAUCCAGAGAACAGGCAACUAUUAUAGAGAUUUUAAGGGAAACUUGGGAAGUUGAAGCAAUGUUUCCUGAGCUCUCUCUCAAAGUGUCCUCAGCCAAACACAAGUCAGAGCUGCACUGCUUAUUACAAUAUUAUUAGCAUAAAUUGCUUUAGUAAAGUAGUAAAUAAUUCAUAAGAGAAUCUGCAAAAGCAAAUAUGUUUGUCUUUUCCCCCACUUUCAUUGGGUUUGAAGAGAAUUGUUCACUUUCUUCAAAUAUUUGAUUUUAAAAUGCAGUAACAGUACAUUGUUUUCUAC